CUUGAGAAGAAACUGUCAGGACGUUUUAUAAAGGAGUUGUUCCAUUUUUCACUCCCUCCAGAAACAUGUCAACGCCCCUUGAAGAAAAGAAGGCAAUCAGGCUAACGUGACAUGGGUGGGGGAUUACGCCCACCUCAGGCCAGGUCAUCCCUUCCCCAUCCCGUGAAUGUCCGUCACGAGAGCAGAUCUAGUGAGCGCAUCCCUGGCAGGGGGACCAACUUGUGCAACUUGUGAAGACGGCACCUUCCACCUCUAGAGAGGCUGUGUCCAAGACUGCCCAGCACCAUGAUGGAGCACACAAGGGGAAGCCCUUCCU
rnacentral:lncRNA from 1 species